rnacentral:rRNA from 1 species
GACCCCGCACAAGCGGCGGAGCAUGUGGUUUAAUUCGAUGAUACGCGAGGAACCUUACCAGGGCUUAAAUGCAGAGCGACAGAGGUGGAAACACCUCCUUCUUCGGACGGUCUGCAAGGUGCUGCAUGGUUGUCGUCAGCUCGUGCUGUGAAGUGUCGGGUUAAGUCCCAUAACGAGCGCAACCCCUAUUUCUAGUUGCCAGCGGUUCGGCCGGGGACUCUAGAGAAACUGCCAGCGUAAGCUGUGAGGAAGGUGGGGAUGACGUCAAAUCAUCACGGCCCUUACGGGUUGGGCUACACACGUGCUACAAUGGUAGUGACAAUGGGUUAAUCCCAAAAGCUAUCUCAGUUCGGAUUGUCGUCUGCAACUCGACGGCAUG